rnacentral:rRNA from 1 species
GACGAACGCUGGCGGCGUGCUUAACACAUGCAAGUCGAACGGAAAGGCCCUGCUUUUGUGGGGUGCUCGAGUGGCGAACGGGUGAGUAACACGUGAGUAACCUGCCCUUGACUUUGGGAUAACUUCAGGAAACUGGGGCUAAUACCGGAUAGGAGCUCCUGAUGCAUGGUGGGGGUUGGAAAGUUUCGGCGGUUGGGGAUGGACUCGCGGCUUAUCAGCUUGUUGGUGGGGUAGUGGCUUACCAAGGCUUUGACGGGUAGCCGGCCUGAGAGGGUGACCGGCCACAUUGGGACUGAGAUACGGCCCAGACUCCUACGGGAGGCAGCAGUGGGGAAUAUUGCACAAUGGGCGGAAGCCUGAUGCAGCAAUGCCGCGUGCGGGAUGACGGCCUUCGGGUUGUAAACCGCUUUCGCCUGUGACGAAGCGUGAGUGACGGUAAUGGGUAAAGAAGCACCGGCUAACUACGUG